AAUUACUAAGACAUUGCAGGUGUGGCUGUUGUGUCACAAUUGCAUCAGUAGGUGUCAGAGAGGAGAGAGGCUAUGUCUAUACUCAGUGUUCUGACCUGUGAACGUCCGAAUGAUUAGUAAACUAGCAUU
ensembl:snoRNA Gm25376 small nucleolar RNA SNORA17